UACGUAGGGUGCGAGCGUUAUUCGGAAUUACUGGGCGUAAAGCGCACGUAGGCGGAUCAGAAAGUCAGAGGUGAAAUCCCAGGGCUCAACCCUGGAACUGCCUGUGAAACUAGAUAGCUAGAAUCACGGAGAGGUAAGUGGAAUUCCGAGUGUAGAGGUGAAAUUCGUAGAUAUUCGGAAGAACGCCAGUGGCGAAGGCGACUAACUGGACGUGUAUUGACGCUGAGGUGCGAAAGCGUGGGGAGCAAACAGG
rnacentral:rRNA from 1 species